AGUUGAUUUGAGUGCAGUAGUGUUUACAACUAAUUGGUCAGAACCAGUUACAGAUUUCCUUAUUCCUUCUCCACUCCCACUGCUUCAGUUGAUUGGCCUUAA
ensembl:misc_RNA Y_RNA Y RNA